rnacentral:misc_RNA from 1 species
UCCCCGUUGCCGGGGCAGUAUGAUUAGAAAAAUUCAACUAAUCACAAGGGUUGCGCUCGUUGAUGGACUUAACCAAACAUCUCACGACACGAGCUGACGACGGCCAUGCAACACCUGUCACUUGGUUCCCGAGGGCACUCACUGCUUUCACAGUAAUUCCAAGGAUGUCAAACCCUGGUAAGGUUCUUCGUUUAUCAUCGAAUUAAAGAACACGCUCCACCGCUUGUGCGGGUCCCCGUCAAUUCCUUUAUGUUUUAGUCUUGCGACCGUACUCCACAGGCGGGAUACUUAACGCGUUAGCUUCGCUACGGAGGGGGUCGAUACCCCCCACAGCUAGUAUCCAUAGUUUACGGCGUGGACUAC